GUGGCCUAGUGGUUAGAGCAUCUGCCAAGGAUGCGGGAGGUUGUGGGUGCGAUCCCCAGCAGAGUCA